GAAUCAUGAAAAUUCCCUUUGCCA
rnacentral:siRNA from 1 species